GAACCGAAUGCUCAAAAACACUCCCAAACAUGUUCUAGGGUCUAAUUAGGAAGAUUGCAUGCGUUCAUUGCGAAAAAAUCCACCCGAGUUUCGCUACCCGGCAAUAGUGCAUUCAGGUGCCGAAAUGCACCCAUUUUGCAUCGUUUUUCGUGCCGGAACCGAAUGCCCAAAAAUACUCCCAAACAUGUUCUAGUGCAUAUUUAGAAAGAUUGCAUGCGUUCGUUGCGAAAAAAUCCACCCGAGUUUCGCUACCCGGCAAUAGUGCAUUCGCGUGCCGAAAUGCACCCGUUUUGCAUCGUUUUUCGUGCCGGAACCGAAUGCCCAAAAACACUCCCAAACAUGUUCUAGGGUCUAAUUAGGAAGAUUGCAUGCGUUCGUUGCGAAAAAAUCCACCCGAGUUUCGCUACCCGGCAAUAGUACAUUCGGGUGCCGAAAUGCACCCGUUUUGCAUCGUUUUUCGGGCCGGAACCGAAUGCCCAAAAACACUCCCAAACAUGUUCUAGUGCAUAUUUAGGAAGAUUGCAUGCGUUCGUUGCGAAAAAAUCCACCCGAGUUUCGCUGCCCAGCAAUAGUGCAUUCGGGUGCCGAAAUGCACCCGUUUUGCAUCAUUUUUCGUGCCGGAACCGAAUGCCCAAAAACACUCCCAAACAUGUUCUAGUGCAUAUUUAGGAAGAUUGCAUGCGUUCGUUGCGAAAAAAUCCACCCGAGCUUCGCUACCCGGCAAUAGUGCAUUCGGGUGCCGAAAUGCACCCGUUUUGCAUCAUUUUUCGUGCCGGAACCGAAUGCCCAAACACACUCCCAAACAUGUUCUAGUGCAUAUUUAGGAAGAUUGCAUGCGUUCGUUGCAAAAAAAUCCACCCGAGUUUCGCUACCCGGCAAUAGUGCAUUCGGGUGCCGAAAUGCACCCGUUUUGCAUUGUUUUUCGUGCCGGAACUAAAUGCCCAAAAAUACUCCCAAACAUGUUCUAGUGCAUAUUUAGGAAGAUUGCAUGCGUUCGUUGCGAAAAAAUCCACCC
rnacentral:lncRNA from 1 species